GCGCCGUUCCCAACGUCGGGUCGCCAUCUUUUGUUUCCCGAAGGAAGAAAACAAAGCGAGGAAAGUUUGCGGUAGGGAGCACGACCGUGGCUACCAAGACGGCUGACGGCGCAGUACCCGAGGCGUUUGGCGGGCCCGAUAGUAAACGAACAUAACGAUGCAGGCCGUCAAAGAACAAAUAAUUGCGGCCUUGCCAAACCUGACCUCGGGUGAGGUUGAGAGCGUCCUCAACAAAUUUAUGAGCCUUGGCGUAGAGUGCCCAAGUGACCUCAACUUUCUGACUGAGGGAGACCUCGCAAGCAUACUCAAACCAAUCCAAGCCAGGAAACUCGUCGCCUACCUCAAGCCACAGAAUGUCUCCGACAGCAAAACUCCAGAACAGUUUGGGGCUACCUCUUCUGAAGCCAGCACCUCAUCAAAAACAAGUUACCAUGUCGACUCAACCUGGGCAAACAAUUUUGACAUACAGUGGAAGGAGAUGCCGCCAAGGCUACAACAGGCCCUAAAGGAAAACAAACGGCCUUUGCCCAAAGAUCGCAGGGAAAUGGUCAGACUCAUCAUAAAGACGUCAAUGGAAAUGUGCCCACGGCCACUGAGGAAGCAGCUGGACAUGAUUGCAAAAAAAGUGGUGGACCAGUACCCAUUGUCUUUCAAAGAUGUCUUGGAUGGAACAGUGGUUGGAACAGGACAUGAUUCUCUCCUGAACCAGCUUCUUGCCAGGGUGGAAAACGUGAGACGUGAAGACACGGAAAAGAUAGCAGUGCCGACGCACACAAAUCGAAAACAGAGGAAAGAGCGUAGCUACGGGUGUCAGAGCAGUUCCCCAGGUUACACACUUGAGGAAGAGCUGGAAAUGAACAGCGACAAAGAGAGAUUGCAGGCAAUGUUUCGUGAAAGGUGUCGGCCAACACCGAUGAAGUCCUUAAGCUCAUGCGAUCAACAUAUCCAUUGCAACGUAGGGACAUUAACUCUGAAGUGAUGCCAAUGAGAGAACUGUUGUGUGCAUGGCCCUUCUUGUUCGUCCCUUCUGGUCUCUUCUGUCACUUUAGUGCCCUAUGCAGUUUUGAUAUUCAAGACAGACUAAGGGAGUCGCUGCAAAAGAAGAAGGAUGUAGUUCUCAAACUAAUGAGACUGGACAAGAGGACAGAAAAUGAGUAUACCAAGCUAAUGGAAGACAUUGCAAAAGCUGGAGACAAUGCAAGUCCAGAAGCUGGGUGCUUGGCACUGAUGAUACUACUUGUGACAUGGUUCGGCGAAGAGAGGGACUGCCUCAUUCUGAGGAAAGAUCCAUUUCUAACUGCUGCUGAAGUCGAGGAGGACCUGCCAAUUUCUCCUUGCAUUAUAGCACUGGGGGAUGAUCUGUGGACUGCCCACGAGUACGCACUCAGCAUUGAUGGCAGGCUCAUGGUUCAGAAGAUACCAGACGUCCCUACGGCAUGGGCUGCACUCUUCGCGAGUCACUAUUGCUUUAACAUCUGCUACGCUGAAGGCCUGUCAUCGACCCUCGAGUUCCUUCAGAGAGGUUUCCUGAGCAUGAACCCUGACCGUGGCACCAGAGCCAAGCGCUCCAAGUCGGAAGUGAACAAGAAAGUACUUAACCUGGUCAAGAAAAUAGCAGAGCUGGAGUGGAAUGUGUGAGGCUGUCGGUCAUCUUAUGUGGGAACGAGGCAUGCGACAUGGGGCUCGGGCUCAUUCAACGCAAGGUCUUGGCACCAGGAAGAUUUCAGCAGCCAUAAGCAAUGGCACUUGGGUCUAAAUUUGAUCAGAGGGUAUAUGGACCUGGGUCUUCAUCAUCCAAGUAAAUAAAUGUUCUGUUUUUAUUUCUAUCCUACACA